GACAACACUGAUAUUUCUUGGUGCUGUGGUUGUUCUCUUUGCAUGGCUAACCCUCACAGGAUUCACCAGCUCCAGAAAUAGCAAUCUGUACUUUUUUCUUCAGGAACAGUUUCAAGAUUGAUUGAUAUAAUGAGAUCAAGGAGGCUCUUUGAGGGAUGAAGGAACAUAAGAGUUAAAAGCAAUGCUCACAAAUAAACUUCUCGGUGAUUACCUUCUCCCUCAGAGCACUCCUCAUUGUUUGGUUUCCUUCCUGUAGCACAUGCUGACCAUAUGUCUUUCUACCUACUUGGCUCCUUACAUUUGACAGAGAGGAAACACUAAUAUUGGAGUGGCUGUUUUGAAACUGUCUGGGACUUGCUGAAUUAAUUGCUCUUCUGGCUGGAGCAGGAGAAAAAUGAGUUGAGGUCUCUCCAGAGAGAUUCUGUGUGCAUUAGAAAUGCUGCUUGUGCUUUUGGAGAAAUCCCCUUAUUUGAAACAAACCGGCUAACAUAUGAAGGAAUUAAGGAUACAUAUAUUAGGAAAAAGAAAAACAUGUCACCUGUGGAGAGCAUAGAGGGUGAUAAGAAAAGAGGAGGAU
rnacentral:lncRNA from 1 species